AGAGUUUGAUCAUGGCUCAGAUUGAACGCUGGCGGUAGGCUUAACACAUGCAAGUCGUGCGAGAAAGUAUCUUCGGGUAUAAGUAGAGCGGCGGACGGGUGAGUAACGCGUAGGAAUCUACCUAGUAGAAGGGGAUAGCCCGGGGAAACUCGGAUUAAUACCGUAUACCUCCUUUGGGAGAAAGAAGGCCUCUCUUUGAAGCUUUCGCUACUAGAUGAGCCUGCGUAAGAUUAGCUUGUUGGUGAGGUAAAGGCUCACCAAGGCGACGAUCUUUAGCGGGUCUGAGAGGACGAUCCGCCUCAUUGGGACUGAGACACGGCCCAGACUCCUACGGGAGGCAGCAGUGGGGAAUAUUGGACAAUGGGCGCAAGCCUGAUCCAGCCAUACCGCGUGUGUGAAGAAGGCCCUAGGGUUGUAAAGCACUUUAAGUUGGGAAGAAAAGUUAUUGGUUAAUACCCAAUAACCGUGACAUUACCUUCAGAAUAAGGACCGGCUAAUUCCGUGCCAGCAGCCGCGGUAAUACGGAAGGUCCAAGCGUUAAUCGGAAUUACUGGGCGUAAAGCGCGCGUAGGUGGUUUAUUAAGUUGGAUGUGAAAUCCCCGGGCUCAACCUGGGAACUGCAUCCAAAACUGAUUCACUAGAGUACGAUAGAGGGAGGUAGAAUUCACAGUGUAGCGGUGGAAUGCGUAGAUAUUGUGAAGAAUACCAAUGGCGAAGGCAGCCUCCUGGAUCUGUACUGACACUAAGGUGCGAAAGCGUGGGUAGCGAACAGGAUUAGAUACCCUGGUAGUCCACGCCGUAAACGAUGUCAACUAGCUGUUGGGAAACAAUGUUUCUCAGUGGCGCAGCUAACGUAGUAAGUUGACCGCCUGGGGAGUACGGGCCGC
rnacentral:rRNA from 1 species